GCAGCUGGCAACCUGGGGACUGCACACCGGGCAGGAACUGUCUUUCCAAGCCCCAGGGAGAGCUGCAAAGACGUUCUGGGGAUUGUCGCUCUGUGGGACCAAACUUUCUGGGAUAGAGCAUAAUGGAAACGGACAGAUUGUGCCGGAAUCCUAACCUCUACUGCCAGGGUAGCCGAGAUGGUCUGGAUAAUACCGCCUAUAGGAAAACAAACAGAAACUUUUCAGAGUGCCAUCCCUGAGGUCUCGCAACAGUGAUCUCUUCAAAAGUGAAGGCUGGCUAGGAAAGGUGCCAUGCCCUGGACUGCCAUUCUCCCUUCCUGCUUCCUGUCGUCAGUCAUCAACUUCCUGCUUUGAUCUUCUGGCUCGGUGCUUCUUCUCCAAGUCUUCUGCAGCCUCUGAGAUGUAUGAGGGCAGCUCACAGCUUCAAGAUCUCCUUCUUCUUUCGAAGGGGCCACUUUCUCUUUUCCCUCCCCAGAUAGGUGCUGCCCAUCAUACGGAAGGAAUUAAAUGG